rnacentral:rRNA from 1 species
AAUAUUAGUCAAUGCUCGAAAGAGUGAACUAGCUAACUGAAAUCAUAUUUGUGUCAAAUAUGAUGUCGUAAGGGAAAAUUAUGAUAUUACCUUACUAAUAGUGUCGUCUAAAACUGGUGCCAGAAGACUCGGUAAGGCCAGAGACACAAAUGUUAAUCGUCUUAAUCAGGCGUAAAGGGUUUGUAGGCUGCUUUGAAAAUAUUAAUUUAAUAUAGCCAAACGGCUUGCUGUUUAAUCUUUUGUGAAACUAUUACAAAUAGUAGUAGUCAUCAAUAGGUUCACAGUAGGCUAACAUUGUAAAUUAAUAUCAAUUAAAGCUAGAAUCUAAUAGAGGAUAUUUACAAAAUAAUGCUAAGUCGAGGGCUGAGAUCCUAAGACACUUAGUGGAGUACUAAUGGCGUAAGCAUUUAUCCAAUAAAGAUUGACGCUGAGAAACGAAGGUGAGGAUAGGAAAUAGGAUUAGAUACCCAGAUACCCCUCUCUGUCAACGAUGAAUGGUAGUUUGUUAGUCUUUAAAAGACUAGUGACGAAGUUAACACGUUAACCAUUCCGCCUUGUGAGUACGACUGCAAAGUUGAAAACAAAAAAAUUAGUCGGUCUCGGAGCAAACGAAGUGAAGUAUGUUAUUUA